GCCCCGCCCCUUUUUCAGGGUUGGAAAACGCAGCAGUGAUUUUGGACCAUCGAUAUUUCUAUCGAUUCCAUCUCCUCUCAUAGUUGUUUUACAUUGCCAUUUUGUUAAUCCACCUGACUCAGAGCAGACCCAAUACCCGAACUCGGCCUCUUCGCUUAUCCUUUGUUGAUAGAAAUCACAUCGCGCACCGUUAGAGAAAAGGGCGAAGAGGAGACGAGAAAAGAAGUGAAAACAGUUGCAUUCCGCGGAGAGGCAUUUGCUGGCACCCCAGCAUGUUCAGCAUAAGCGAGCUGUGCUGCAUGUUUUGCUGCCCCCCCUGUCCGGGGAACAUUGCGGCCAAGCUGGCCUUCCAGCCCCCGGAGCCCACGUAUAAGCUGACCCCCGCCGAUGACACGAAUGCCAGGUACAACUUGCAGCUCUUUGACCGCGCCGAAUGGCAGUACUCCGAGCGGGAGAAGUCCAAGGUGGAGGCCUUCUUCACCCGCACCUCGCGAGGCAACCUGAUCACCUGUACCUACGUCCGGUGCAGUAAAAACGCCAAGUACACGCUACUGUUCUCCCAUGGUAAUGCAGUUGAUCUCGGGCAGAUGAGCAGCUUCUAUCUGACCCUCGGCUCGCAGAUCAAUUGCAAUAUCUUUGGUUACGACUACUCGGGGUACGGCAUGAGCGGCGGCAAGCCCUCUGAGAAGAAUCUGUACGCGGACAUAGAAGCCGCCUGGCAAGCAAUGCGAACGCGGUACAACAUUAGUCCCGAGACAAUAAUCUUGUACGGGCAGAGUAUUGGCACGGUGCCGACUGUGGACCUGGCCUCCCGCCACGAAGUCGGCGCCGUAAUUCUCCACUCGCCGCUCAUGUCUGGCCUGAGAGUCGUGUUUAGGAACACAAAGAGAACUUGGUUCUUUGACGCAUUUCCCAGCAUUGAUAAGGUCGCUAAGGUAAAGGCUCCAGUUCUGGUUAUUCACGGCACCGAUGACGAGGUCAUCGACUUCUCCCACGGCAUUGGAAUCUACGAGCGGUGUCCUAAGACAGUGGAGCCGUUUUGGGUGGAGGGCGCUGGUCAUAAUGAUGUUGAGCUUCAUCCGCAUUACUAUGAACGCCUGCGGAAGUUCUUGUCGGUGGAGCUCAUCACAUGACAAUUAAAGAAUAAUGUGGAUGGAGGUGUUAGUGACACUACUUCUGGUGUAGUAUCGAAUUCAAACCCUGCCGGAGCCAGUGUGUCCCUAAGUUCAAAACAUCCCAAUCCAUCCUCAGCUACCGCAGGAAGCGAAUCAAGUAAAAAAAAUGCGGAAGCUAACAAAAAACGGAGUGAAAACGAUGGUGCCUCAAAUUCCAGCCAGAGUUCUACAAAGGCUCUCGAGCAGAAGUUUCUUUAGCAAAAGCAGUCGGGCUCGUGUUUUAAAGCCCAACCAUUAUCACCACAGUUCUCAAAACUUGAAUUAUUAAAUAAACCGUGCGGUAACAGACAGAACAAACAACAUAGAAAAGAUGACCCACCUUUAAGUAAUGAAAAGUCGAAUGGCUUUUUUGUUUCCCGAUUAAAACAACCAAAUAUGGCGCCAACACUUCCAGUUCUCUCUCCACAUUCUCCAAUGAAUGCAAACUUAUAUAUUAAUAGCCAACAUACGCAACUUUCCGGGCGUUAUUUAAACAACAAAGUGUCUCAGCAGGUCGAUGCAAAUAGUGUUAGGCGAGUGUCGUCGAGCAGAUCUCUCAAGGACAGUCAAAAAGUUUUAUCCAUUUCAUCGACAUUAGUAUGCAAUUGUGAGAAGGAAUACAAAUCGAAUGGGUCUGACUCGGAAGCCAACGAAGAAAUCAAAAUCAAAUUAAAUUCAGAUACAGGUACAGGUACUAAGCUGGCCAAUAGCGCCAAGAUCCAAGACUUGAAAGUAUGUAAGACAUCCGAUAAAAAGAAUUCUGCAAUAGACGAGUCUGCCAAGGGGUGUUUGCAAUUAAAUUGUGCUACGGGAAAGGAUAAGAGAGCAGUGUCUCCAAGACUGUCAUUGCAUAAAAGUGGCUUUCAGCAAGCCAUCAUUAUAUCGGAUGAAAGCGAGGUUACAAAAUCUCCGCGAGGUGCUAACAAAACAACGAGACAGCUGUCCAGCAAUGCAGACAAUCAAUUUUAUCGUCAACUGACUCAUAAAAUAAGUAAAUCGGAGCAAACUUCCCCCAACAAUGUGGAAAUUGACAAAGCUAAUUUCUUAUACGACACUAACAACAGGAGUACUAGCUGUCUGGUUAAUCCCUCUGAUCCAUGGGUUAAGAAUUCCGAUAUAAGAAGUGAUAUCUCAUCCAAAAAGGAAAAGCAUUUAAAUUCCCAACAUUACAUUGAUCCCUGGGUUCGACGGCAAGCAGAUGUCCCCGUGGAAGUCUCACAGUUUCCCAAGAAGAAUAUCUAUCGCGAAAAAUCUCUAUCUUCCCUAAACAAUAAACUUAUUUCAACCAGAACUGAAAAGGCAAAGUGUGUGAAGCCGCAACUGAAGCAUUCGAAGACAGUGCUAGACGAAGAUCACGUAUUUUUAAAUGAACCCGGACUGCUGUUUGCUCCAUUCUCACCGCCGCAUAAUAAAAACAAAAACUGGUGCCUCGACCAAUCCAAUAACGAUCUAAAAGGAAAUAUUCAAAGUAAAUCAGCAAGUGUUAUUCCAGACAAAGUAAAGGAGACUUCCAGUCCGAUAGCAAACCAUGUUAGAAAAUCUGUAUAUCAAAAUAAUAGUAACUUGCUUUGUCCAAACGAUCAAGCCAGAUCUUUACUUCAAGUAGAAAAAUUGCACUCUAGACAUAGCUCCCUAUCGAUUCCCAAUCAAUCCAAUGACGAACUUCCGCUAAAUAUCCGUCGACUCUCCGAGCAGAUUCGUGAGCUGCCCUUGGAGCGAAAUCUUCAAUUGUCCCUCAGCGAUCGGAACGUAAGCAAUAUGGCGCCAAGUGAAAGGUCUGGAGGCAGGGAACAGCAACCAAUACCCCAAAAGUUGGGCUCCUACAUUUCGGAUAAGUACCACGGAAAUAAAAUCAUGGCAAGCCAGCACGAAGACUUUAUCUCUUUAAAACGAGCCUCCAAAGAUUCCACAACUGUUAAUAUUGUAAAACCAUUUACGACUAUUCAUAAGCCUGAUCCACUUCUAGAAACCACCUGUUAAACCCAUUUGCUAGAAACCCGAGAGUCGAUAUUAAAGUGUCUCUGCAUUAGCUCAUUCAUAGAUCAUCAAAAUAUAAAAAAAAAACGUAAUAUAUAUACAUAAAAAGAAAACCACACACACAAACAUAUACAUACUUCUUAUAUAUCGAUCGAAUCUAAAUAUGAAUAAUAAAUAACAUCAAAAAAAAGAAAAGAGAAAAAAAAACAUAAUAAAAACUAUUUUUAGUAGUAUCUUAAGUUUGAAAUUUUUACAGUGAUUUUGCAUUUAUAUUAAGUAACACGAUAAUGCCCUUCCACCCAUGGGGACAAGUUCUAGGCUUAAUAACAUUCGCAAGCAUAUAUAUGUGUGUAAUAGUGUAUUUUUUCCUCAUUUUAUUGUCAUUUUACAUAUUUGUUGUAAUACAUUUUAUAGUAAUAAAAUCUUUAUAAAGAGCUAAAUGAAUCAUAA